GGUGAUAUAGCUCAGCUGGGAGAGCGUCUGGUUCGCAAUCAGAAGGUCAGGGGUUCGAUCCCCCUUAUCUCCACCA
rnacentral:tRNA from 1 species